rnacentral:rRNA from 1 species
UACGGGGGGGGCAAGCGUUGUUCGGAAUUACUGGGCGUAAAGGGCUCGUAGGCGGCCAACUAAGUCAGACGUGAAAUCCCUCGGCUUAACCGGGGAACUGCGUCUGAUACUGGAUGGCUUGAGUUGGGAGAGGGAUGCGGAAUUCCAGGUGUAGCGGUGAAAUGCGUAGAUAUCUGGAGGAACACCGGUGGCGAAGGCGGCCGAUCCCUGGG